UACUAAAAUCAACCAUCUAUAUUAUAUAUUAAAUAAAACACUUAACUAUCUACUCCUACUAACUAACCAAAUCAAAGUACUAAAAAGGAAAUAACAAUAACAUAAAGUAGUGAAGACCCACGUACCUUGUGCAUUAUGGUUUUACAAGCUAUAAAUUUAUAAUAUACUCCCGAAUUCUACACGAGCUGUCCCCAUAUAGCUAAGAGCCCACUACUAGUUGUAGCAACAACUUUAGAAAAUAUGUUGACAGAGGCUACAUACCACACGCGUUAGAAAAUUGCUGGUUUUCAGUAAAAUUUAUUAAUUAAAACAUGUAGUAAUAACUACAAUGUAAGACUUCAGAGGACAAGCCCUGAAGCCUAAAGCUAAUAAACAUUCCACAAAAUAUUUAGGCCUAAAAACAGCCAUCUAUAUUACUUUACCGUAAUACAUAUAUAAUACUUGAAAUUACUCUGCACACCAAAACUGAAAUUUAAGACAAAUUUUAAAUAUUAAAAUAAUAUGUAAAAAUAAGUAUUAAGUAUAAACAACAAUAUAUUAAAAUAUUUUUCUCAAUAAAACAAAUAAAAGCUUAUAAAGGAACUCGGCAAAUUCUUAUUUUUCCCGCUAAAAUAUGAGAAGUAAUUCCUGCCCAGUGACUCAGUUCAACGGCCGCGGUAUCCUAACCGUGCAAAGGUAGCAUAAUCACUUGCCCAUUAAUUGUGGGCUAGAAUGAAAGGACUAACGAAAUAAAAACUGUCUCUAUAAGCCUAAUAAAAAUUAAUCUCUAACUGAAGAGUGUUAGAUAUCGUCGAAGGACAAGAAGACCCUAUAGAGCUUUAUUUUAACAAAAACCCAAAAAAUUUUCAAUAAAAUUCGGUUGGGGCGACCAGGGAAUAUAAAUCAUCCCCUAUAAACAGAUAACUUAAUCUAAACUCUGACCCUUAAACAAGAUCAACAAAUCAAGCUACCUUAGGGAUAACAGGCUAAUCCCGCUAAAGAGUCCUUAUCAAUAGUGGGGGUUGGCACCUCGAUGUUGGCUUAGGGAAUCUAUGCGGCGCAAAAGUCGCAUAAAGAUGGUUUGUUCAACCAAUAAUACCCUACAUGAGCUGAGUUCAGACCGGCGUAAGCCAGGUUAGUUUCUAUCCUCGAUAAACAAUCUAUUUAUAGUACGAAAGGACCUAAAUAGAAUAAUAAUUAUGUCUAAAGAUUAAGUAUAAUGCAUAUUUAAAUUAAAAACACAUAAACUA
rnacentral:rRNA from 1 species